rnacentral:rRNA from 15 species
CACCGCCCGUCGCUCCUACCGAUUGAAUGGUCCGGUGAAGUGUUCGGAUCGAGGCGACGGGGGCGGUUCGCCGCCCGCGACGUCGCGAGAAGUCCACUGAACCUUAUCAUUUAGAGGAAGGAGAAGUCGUAACAAGGUUUCCAUAUGUGAACUUGCGAAAG